UUAAUCAAAAUAAGAUUACAUUUUUGUCAAUUUUCUUAAUUGAUUAAAUUCAUUAUAUUUAAAGAUAUAAUAAUAAUUUAACUAAACAAUUACAGCAUGGAAAGUUCUUUAAAUCACAAGAAACUAAACCUACCACCUACCACUUACCACUGCUACUCAAUUUUGAUUCACGCGCAACACAGCAACCACAUGCUUUUCAAACCAUUUUCUCUCCCACUCCUACACAAACUUCAAAACCAAAACCCCAACAAAUCGUCACUAGAAAGAAAAAUGAUGGCUGUCCUCUCAAAUUCACUAACUGGUCCUUCGCCACCGUAUAUUAUGCAUCGUACUUUUCAAGUUUUCGCCGAUCAUGCCUGCACUCGUCGAAACUCAGUCUCUUCCUCACUUAUUCCUCCGCCAUUUCAAUUCUCAACUCCGCAUCUCUUCUCGCAAGCUUUCUAGACACGUUUGUUGCUAUGGCCGUUCUUUGUUGGAAAAAAUUGAAAGUGGUUAAGUAACUGUCGCCGUACAAGCGGUGGUCGGUGGCCGGAGACAAUGUGGCAAUAGUUGGUAGUCGGGGCAAAGCGAAGUAAUAGAUUGAGAGUAGAAAUUUGUAGAUCUAAUGUUGACAUGUGUAAGGGUAUAGUGGUCUUAUUUCUUAUAAAUUUAUCUUGAUUUGGGAUAUUGGGGGAUUUGUGAAAAUUGUUCUUUUUUUUUGAGUGAUUUCCGCACAUUUUUAUUUUAUGAGGUAAAAAUAAUAGAAAGAGACUAUUUUAGAGGAUUUGUGUAGAUUACCC